UCCCGCAACUCACAACUGGCAGCCCACUGAAGCUCAGCAGGUGUGAGCCUGGUCAGUACCUGGAUGAGAGACCUCCUGGGAAAACUAAGGUUGCUGCUGGAA
rnacentral:rRNA from 1 species